rnacentral:rRNA from 2 species
CCUACGGGAGGCAGCAGUAGGGAAUAUUGGACAAUGGGGGCAACCCUGAUCCAGCAAUGCCGCGUGAGUGAUGAAGGCCUUAGGGUUGUAAAGCUCUUUUACCCGAGAUGAUAAUGACAGUAUCGGGAGAAUAAGCUCCGGCUAACUCCGUGCCAGCAGCCGCGGUAAU